rnacentral:rRNA from 1 species
AACGAACGCUGGCGGCAGGCUUAACACAUGCAAGUCGAGCGAGACCUUCGGGUCUAGCGGCGGACGGGUGAGUAACGCGUGGGAACGUGCCCUUCUCUACGGAAUAGCCCCGGGAAACUGGGAGUAAUACCGUAUACGCCCUUUGGGGGGAAAGAUUUAUCGGAGAAGGAUCGGCCCGCGUUGGAUUAGGUAGUUGGUGGGGUAAUGGCCCACCAAGCCGACGAUCCAUAGCUGGUUUGAGAGGAUGAUCAGCCACACUGGGACUGAGACACGGCCCAGACUCCUACGGGAGGCAGCAGUGGGGAAUCUUAGACAAUGGGGGCAACCCUGAUCUAGCCAUGCCGCGUGAGUGAUGAAGGCCUUAGGGUUGUAAAGCUCUUUCAGCUGGGAAGAUAAUGACGGUACCAGCAGAAGAAGCCCCGGCUAACUCCGUG